rnacentral:misc_RNA from 1 species
UCCGACUUAGAGCCGGCAGUCUCCCAAGAAAAAUACAACUUGGGACAAGGGUUGCGCUCGUUUACGGACUUAACCGAACACCUCAAGGCACGAGCUGACGACAACCAUGCAGCACCUGUCACCGCGUUCCUUACGGCACAUCCGCCUUUCGGCAGACUUCGCGGGAUGUCAAACCGUGGUAAGGUUCCUCGCUUACUAUCGAAUUAAACCAGAUGCUCCACCGCUUGUGCGGGUCCCCGUCUAUUCCUUUGAGUUUUAACCUUGCGGCCGUACUACCCAGGCGGAACACUUAAUGCGUUUGCGUCGGCACUGGAGGGGUCGAGACCUCCAACACCUAGUGUUCAUCGUUUAGGGCGUGGACUA